AACGAACGCUGGCGGCAUGCCUAACACAUGCAAGUCGAACGAGACCGUCCGGUCUAUGGGCGCACGGGUGCUUAACGCGUGGGAACCUGCCCGUAGGUUCCGUAUAACUCCCCGAAGGGUGUGCUAAUACCAGAUAAUCUCUUCGGACCUAAGAUUUAUCGCCGUUGGGUGGGCGCGCGUUGGCUUAGCUGGUUGGUAGGGUAAAAGCAUACCAACGCCACGAUCCAUAGCUGGUCGGAGAGGAUGCUCAGCCACACUGGGACUGAGACGCGGACUACACUCCGACGGGACGGAGCAGUGUGGUAUAUUAGACACGGGGCGAAAGUCUGAUCACGCAGUGUCGCGGGAGUGAUGAAGGCCUUAGGGUUGUAAAGCUGUCUUACCCGGGAUGAUAAUGACAGUAACGGGAGAAUAAGCUCCGGCUAACUACGUG
rnacentral:rRNA from 1 species